UACGUAGGGGGCAAGCGUUGUCCGGAUUUAUUGGGCGUAAAGAGCGUGUAGGCGGUUAGGUAGGUCCGUUGUGAAAACUCGAGGCUCAACCUCGAGACGCCGAUGGAAACCAUCUAACUAGAGUCCGGAAGAGGAGAGUGGAAUUCCUGGUGUAGCGGUGAAAUGCGCAGAUAUCAGGAAGAACACCGGUGGCGAAGGCGGGUCUCUGGGCCGAUACUGACGCUGAGGAGCGAAAGCGUGGGGAGCGAACAGG
rnacentral:rRNA from 1 species